rnacentral:rRNA from 1 species
UACGUAGGCAGCGAGCGUUGUUCGGAAUUACUGGGCGUAAAGGGCGCGUAGGCGGCGACCCAAGUCAGAUGUGAAAGUCCUGGGCUUAACCUGGGGACUGCAUUUGAUACUGGGUUGCUUGAAUUCGGGAGAGGAUGGCGGAAUUCCCAGUGUAGAGGUGAAAUUCGUAGAUAUUGGGAAGAACACCGGUGGCGAAGGCGGCUAUCUGGACCGACAUUGACGCUGAGGCGCGAAAGCGUGGGGAGCAAACAGG